AGAAGGGCUUCCGGAACAUCGUUUCGGGGGCCUUUUUCUUUGC
rnacentral:antisense_RNA from 1 species